AAGCAAACAAGCAUCAGAUAAUUACGGUGCGAGCGAACUGAAGAAACGUUUUCUCAUUUUUUAAUUCUUAUGAUUUCUCUGAAUUGGCGGGCGUAACUGAAAAAAAAAGUCUUUUUAAAGAGUGUUUACAAGAAGGUAUGAAAAAGUAUUCAUCCACUUUCUUGAGUAACAUUAUCAGGUAGUAAUAUUCCACUCUUAAUAAUUAUGACGCAAUAUGAUGUCAUGCAUCAUCACACUUCUGCCAUGAUGUUUCAUAUUUCAUAACAAUAUUUAAAACAACAUACACAGAUAAUCAUAACAGAGGCUCGGCUCAACUUUUUGCAAGAACCACAAUCACCCUAUUUCGUGGGUCACUGACUGACUGUUUCAGCAACAUGGUAUUGCUUGAUUGAUAAGCCGUUCUAACCGAUUAUCACGGAUAUAUUCGCAAAAGCGAGCUUGUGAUUAUUCACAACAAUUUCGUCUUAAAAUACGCACGCUGUUGAAUCAUGGUAAUCGCAGCUAGAAAUGUUGACCUAACAGCCGCCACUCAUAAAGCCGAUGUUUACGUUCCGCUGCCUCAUGCGCUGCACCAAAUCGACACGUGUUGUUCCAUCCACUUCCUUAUCAACCUGGCUUGGAUUCGAUUAUGAUUUCCGAUGAAGUAAUAACAAUAAUCUGGAGGAGUAAACAGCGAGAAGUGCAAGAGCACCGUUCGGUUCGGUUUGUUUAUCUGCUCGGCUACAGUGGAUUCUGAACAUUCGGAUGAGCAGUACCAAGAUGUGGAGUAAGUUUGCCAUUAUUUGCAUCAUAGUUUGGAUAACGGCGAGCGAACCGCACGCCAGUGGAUUGAUUUCCGAAGUUGAAAGGUCGUCAUCGGGGAGCAAAAUCGAGAGUAAGUCAGAUACACCAGCCUUGGAUCCUGACAUACCAGUGGCAACCACGACGGAAAUGGAUGUGCUGACAAAGCACAAACGAUGCAGCCAUCUUUGCAACAGAUUUUGCAAGGCAGACGGAUUCGCAUACGGUGUGUGUACGAGAAACAAUGGUUGUACAUGUGGCGUUGGAUUUUUUGGCAUGCAGCGGUUUUAGCGUUAAUGUGUGUGAUGUAUUUCUCAAGAACGCGAUAGCAAUAAAUUUAUUUACCAAC